CUCGGAGGCCUACACCAAAACUCUCGACAAUCCUCACGCUUUUUGCAGCUCAUAGGUUCAACUGUGAUAUAUCAAAUAAACAUUGAAAAAAUGUUAUCAACAAUUUUUAAUAAUUCCUUUCAAAAAGAGGAGCAUUAAGGAAACAAUUUUUUAAUAAUUCCUUUAAGAAUAAAUUUAACACGUUAAGUAAGUUUGUAAUUACUAAUUCUUAAAAAGAUUUAGUAAAAAAAAAAAAGUUUGUAAUCCUCGUAAAUAUUUCAAAAUUUGUUUUUAGUUCUUGUAAAGAUUUUCUUUUAGUUUCUCAAAUAUUUUUCUGUGAUAACAUUUGGUCUCUAUUAUAUUGGUUUAUAAUAUUAUCAGAAUUUUAUCUAUAAAUUUAUUUUAAUAUAAGAUGAAUUAAAUAUGAAUUUUAAAGCGUAAAAAAUAUUCAAUUUCUAAUAACGGAUCAGACUAAACAUGAAAGAAAAAAAAUUUAAAAUUUCUAAUAAUAUACACGAGUCGAUUUAAAAG
rnacentral:lncRNA from 1 species